CCCCCUGGACUCAGAUAUAGAGGUAAUGUUACACUCCAUGGACUCAGAUAUAGAGGUAAUGUUACAGCCCCCUGGACUCAGAUAUAGAGGUAAUGUUACAGCCCCCCCUGGACUCAGAUAUAGAGGUAAUGUUACACUCCAUGGACUCAGAUAUAGAGGUAAUGUUACAGCCCCCUGGACUCAGAUAUAGAGGUAAUGUUACACUCCAUGGACUCAGAUAUAGAGGUAAUGUUACAGCCCCCCUGGACUCAGAUAUAGAGGUAAUGUUACA